rnacentral:pre_miRNA from 1 species
AGUUCUGGGAGAUGUUAUCACGUGCUAUCUCAUUCGGUGAUAUCGUCACCCAGCACCGC